rnacentral:rRNA from 1 species
ACACGACCGUACCGCAAACCGACACUGGUGCGCGAGAUGAGUAUUCUCAGGCGCUUGAGAGAACUCGGGAGAAGGAACUCGGCAAAUUGACACCGUAACUUCGGAAGAAGGUGUGCCUUUAGUAGGUGAAGUCCCUCGCGGAUGGAGCCCAAUGAGGUUGCAAAGAAUCGGUGGCUGCGACUGUUUAAUAAAAACACAGCACUCUGCAAACACGAAAGUGGACGUAUAGGGUGUGACGCCUGCCCGGUGCUGGAAGAUUAAGUGAUGGGGUGCAAGCUCUUGAUCGAAGUCCCAGUAAACGGCGGCCGUAACGAUAACGGUCCUAAGGUAGCGAAAUUCCUUGUCGGGUAAGUUCCGACCUGCACGAAUGGCGUAACGAUGGCCACACUGUCUCCUCCCGAGACUCAGCGAAGUUGAAAUGUUUGUGAUGAUGCAAUCUCCCCGCGGAAAGACGGAAAGACCCCAUGAACCUUUACUGUAGCUUUGUAUUGGACUUUGAACGGAUCUGUGUAGGAUAGGUGGGAGGCUUUGAAGCCGGGUCGCUAGAUCUGGUGGAGCCAACGUUGAAAUACCACCCUGGUGCGUUUGAGGUUCUAACCUAGGCCCGUUAUCCGGGCCGGGGACAGUGCAUGGUAGGCAGUUUGACUGGGGCGGUCUCCUCCCAAAGCGUAACGGAGGAGUUCGAAGGUACGCUAGUUACGGUCGGACAUCGUGACGAUAGUGCAAUGGCAUAAGCGUGCUUAACUGCGAGACUGACAAGUCGAGCAGAUGCGAAAGCAGGACAUAGUGAUCCGGUGGUUCUGUAUGGAAGGGCCAUCGCUCAACGGAUAAAAGGUACUCUGGGGAUAACAGGCUGAUACCGCCCAAGAGUUCAUAUCGACGGCGGUGUUUGGCACCUCGAUGUCGGCUCAUCUCAUCCUGGGGCUGUAGCCGGUCCCAAGGGUAUGGCUGUUCGCCAUUUAAAGAGGUACGUGAGCUGGGUUUAAAACGUCGUGAGACAGUUUGGUCCCUAUCUUCCGUGGGCGCUGCAGAUUUGAGGAAGCCUGCUCCUAGUACGAGAGGACCGGAGUGGACGCACCUCUGGUGUACCUGUUGUCACGCCAGUGGCAUUGCAGGGUAGCUAAGUGCGGAAGAGAUAACCGCUGAAAGCAUCUAAGCGGGAAACUCGUUUCAAGAUGAGAUCUGCCGGGGCCUUGAGCCCCCUGAAGAGUCGUUCUAGACCAGGACGUUGAUAGGUCAGGUGUGGAAGCGCAGUAAUGCGUUAAGCUAACUGAUACUAAUUGCUCGUGCGGCUUGACUAA